rnacentral:rRNA from 1 species
CAGUCGCCGCGGGAAAACGUAGGUGGCAAGCGUUGUCCGGAAUUAUUGGGCGUAAAGGGCUCGCAGGCGGUCUCUUAAGUCUGAUGUGAAAGCCCCCGGCUCAACCGGGGAGGGUCAUUGGAAACUGGGAAACUUGAGUGCAGAAGAGGAGAGUGGAAUUCCACGUGUAGCGGUGAAAUGCGUAGAGAUGUGGAGGAACACCAGUGGCGAAGGCGACUCUCUGGUCUGUAACUGACGCUGAGGAGCGAAAGCGUGGGGAGCGAACAGGAUUAGAUACCCCCGUAGUCCCUGUCUCUUAUAU